rnacentral:rRNA from 1 species
AGAACGAACGCUGGCGGCAGGCUUAACACAUGCAAGUCGAGCGCCCAGCAAUGGGAGCGGCGGACGGGUGAGUAACACGUGGGAACAUGCCUUUCGGUACGGAACAACUUCGGGAAACUGAAGCUAAUGCCGUAUACGCCCUUACGGGGAAAGAUUUAUCGCCGAAAGAUUGGCCCGCGUCUGAUUAGCUAGUUGGUGAGGUAACGGCUCACCAAGGCUUCGAUCAGUAGCUGGUUUGAGAGAACGACCAGCCACACUGGGACUGAGACACGGCCCAGACUCCUACGGGAGGCAGCAGUGGGGAAUCUUGGACAAUGGAGGAAACUCUGAUCCAGCCAUGCCGCGUGAGUGAUGAAGGCCUUCGGGUUGUAAAACGUCUUUUACCCGGGAAGAUAAUGACUGUACCGGAGAAUAAGCUCCGGCUAACUUCGCGCCAGCAGCCGC